GACGAACGCUGGCGGCGUGCUUAACACAUGCAAGUCGAACGGUGAAGCGCCUUCCUUUUUGGUGGGUGUGGAUGAGUGGCGAACGGGUGAGUAACACGUGAGUAACCUGCCCCCUUCUUCUGGAUAACCGCAUGAAAGUGUGGCUAAUACGGGAUAUUCUGGGUCUGUCGCAUGAUGGGUCUGGGAAAGAUAUUGUUUCGGUGGGGGAUGGGCUCGCGGCCUAUCAGCUUGUUGGUGGGGUGAUGGCCUACCAAGGCGGUGACGGGUAGCCGGCCUGAGAGGGUGGACGGUCACACUGGGACGGAGGCACGGCCCAGACUCCUACGGGAGGCAGCAGUGGGGAAUAGUGCACGAUGGGCGCAAGCCUGAUGCAGCGACGCCGCGUGAGGGAUGGAGGCCUUCGGGUUGUGAACCUCUUUCGCCAGUGAAGCAGGCCUGCCUCGUUUGUGGGUGGGUUGACGGUAGCUGGAUAAGAAGCGCCGGCUAACUACGUG
rnacentral:rRNA from 1 species